rfam:Jatropha curcas cultivar GZQX0401 scaffold201_62, whole genome shotgun sequence.
GAAUGGCAAGGAUGAUGAAUCAAUUAGAUGUGUGAAUGGAAAUUAUCCAUAUUGAACACAACUUGUGAGGCAUAUUAGUUGUCUGACUUGCCUAUA